GGUGAGAUAGCUCAGUUGGUAGAGCAGAGGCUUGAAGAGCCUUGUGUCGGUGGUUCAAUCCCACCUCUCGCUA
rnacentral:tRNA from 1 species